CAAAUGACUCUCGGCAAUGGAUAUCUCGGCUCUUGCAUCGAUGAAGAACGUAGUGAAAUGCGAUACUUGGUGUGAAUUGCAGAAUCUCGUGAACCAUUGAGUUUUUGAACGCAAGUUGUGCCCGAGGCCUUGUGGUCGAGGGCACGUCUGCUUGGGUGUCAUGA
rnacentral:rRNA from 1 species